rnacentral:rRNA from 1 species
CCUANGGGGGGCAGCAGUGGGGAAUCUUGCGCAAUGGGCGAAAGCCUGACGCAGCCACGCCGCGUGGGUGAUGAAGGCCUUCGGGUCGUAAAGCCCUGUCGGGAGGAAAGAAAACCUGCAUCCGCAGGUUUGACGGUACCUCGCAAGAAAGCGCCGGCUAACUCCGUGCCAGCAGCCGCGGUAAUACGGAGGGCGCAAGCGUUGCUCGGAAUCACUGGGCGUAAAGCGCACGCAGGCGGUUUGACAAGUCGGAUGUGAAAUCCCCAGGCUCAACCUGGGAACUGCAUUCGAAACUGUCCAACUCGAGUACGAGAGAGGGAAGCGGAAUUCCUGGUGUAGAGGUGAAAUUCGUAGAUAUCAGGAGGAACACCGGUGGCGAAGGCGGCUUCCUGGCUCGAUACUGACGCUCAUGUGCGAAAGCGUGGGGAGCAAACAGGAUUAGAUACCCCUNUANUC